rnacentral:misc_RNA from 1 species
GUGAAUUCAAUAAGGCCGUGGGUUGGCUUUGCAAAAGGCUUCAGCCCGGCCGAACCACUAUUUUCACACACUUGUGCAUCUGUUCAUUAACUCAAUUGACCUCACCGUCGAUUGAUUAAUACACAAAACUCUUGUGCAUCGUCACAAACAGUUUACAGAAAACAAAUUUUGAUAAACGAAAGAA